GCAGCAUUUCUCCUCAUGUCUCUGCUUCAAGUAAAACCCAGGAGCAAUAAAGGUUUCUAAGGGGACUACUAUUUGCUUCCUCAUUAAAGGCUUGGUUUGAGGGAAGAUAACGUCCAGAAACAAAGGGGGAUCCCAAAAUGCUUGGAUGAAAGAUGGCUGUGGACCUGCUCUGCUGCUUUGACGUAUCUGAGAAUCUUCGAACCCUGCAUCUUAAACAGUGAAAAAUUUAGCCCGGCCGUGUUGUUGCUCGCUCCAUCACUGCUCGGCCUCCACAGUCACCGCCCACGCCUCAGCGGCAGCUGUCACCGUGACGCCCCGCGGGGGAACGCUGCUCAGCAGGCGGGGAGCUGGGAGCUGGAAGCUGGGAAGCGAAGUGUCUAAAAAAUAUCUGACACAUAAUGAAAUCCUCCUCCUGUCCUCUGCUUCUCUGUCCUCAUCCUAGUUGCUCAUAUGGAUGUUGUGAAUGUAUUCAUUAUUUCUCAAAUGUCUUUGUUGUAUUUGUUUGUACGAGUGUUAUGAAUGAAAUAUGCAUUUGGUCUGUAAAUAAAGAGCAAAUAAGAUGUGACAGGUUUGAUAUUUGUCAGUAAUUUUACACUCAGCAGAAAUUAAUUUCCUGCUCGAGAUGCGGUCGGCAGUGAGUUUAGCGUUGUGACUAAUGGAUGCAGCAGUUUAUAUUUUGACAGCUAAGUACAGCUCCAGAGAGAGGAGGAAAGAAAAAC